rnacentral:rRNA from 1 species
GAUGAACGCUGGCGGCGUGCCUAAUACAUGCAAGUCGAGCGGAAAGGCCUCUUCGGAGGUACUCGAGCGGCGGACGGCUGAGUAACACGUAGGAAUGUACCCCAAAGUGAGGGAUAACUGCUCGAAAGAGUAGCUAAUACCGCAUGUGAUCCACGGAUUAAAGCUUUAUGCGCUUUGGGAACAGCCUGCGUAUGAUUAGUUAGUUGGUGAGGUAAUGGCUCACCAAGACGAUGAUCAUUAGCUGGUCUGAGAGGAUGAUCAGCCAGACUGGGACUGAGACACGGCCCAGACUCCUACGGGAGGCAGCAGUAGGGAAUUUUCCACAAUGGGGGCAACCCCGAUGGAGCAACGCCGCGUGCAGGAUGAAUGCCUUCGGGUUGUAAACUGCUUUUGUACGGAACGAAACGGUUCUCUCUAAUACAGGGGGCUAAUGACGGUACCGUAAGAAUAAGCACCGGC